GACGAACGCUGGCGGCGUGCUUAACACAUGCAAGUCGAACGGAAAGACCCUGCUUUUGUGGGGUGCUCGAGUGGCGAACGGGUGAGUAACACGUGAGUAACCUGCCCUUGACUUUGGGAUAACUUCAGGAAACUGGGGCUAAUACCGGAUAGGAGCUCCUGCUGCAUGGUGGGGGUUGGAAAGUUUCGGCGGUUGGGGAUGGACUCGCGGCUUAUCAGCUUGUUGGUGGGGUAGUGGCUUACCAAGGCUUUGACGGGUAGCCGGCCUGAGAGGGUGACCGGCCACAUUGGGACUGAGAUACGGCCCAGGCUCCUACGGGAGGCAGCAGUGGGGAAUAUUGCACAAUGGGCGGAAGCCUGAUGCAGCAACGCCGCGUGCGGGAUGACGGCCUUCGGGUUGUAAACCGCUUUCGCCUGUGACGAAGCGUGAGUGACGGUAAUGGGUAAAGAAGCACCGGCUAACUACGUG
rnacentral:rRNA from 1 species